CKGUUAUACAAAUGAUGYAAUUAUUUAUUAUKKWUAUAAAUAAAAUAGAAUUUAUUAGGUGAAAUUAUAAAUUUAUUUUAAUUAUUAAAUUAUUUUAUGAAACUAUGAAAUUUUUUUUGUAAACUAGGAUUAGAUACCCUAUUAUUAAAAAUGUAAAAAAUUAUGUUAAAUUAUUAUUAGUUAUGAACUUUAAAAUUAAAGAUUUUGGCGGUAUUUUAGUCUAUUCAGAGGAACCUGUUCUGUAAUUGAUAGUCCACGAUUAAUUGUACUUGUUUUAAUUAGUUUGUAUAUCGUCGUAGUUGAAUAUUUUAAAAGAAUUUUAAUAUUCAUGAUUUACAAUUUUAAAUCAAAUCAGAUCAAGGUGCAGCUUAUAAACAAGAAGAAAUGGGUUACAAUAAAUAUAUUUAAGCGGAUUAUAUAAUGAAAUUUAUAUUUGAAGAUGGAUUUGAAAGUAAUAAUUUUAAUUUAAAUUUUAUGAUUUAAGCUCUAUGAUAUGCACAUAUUGCCCGUCGCUUUCAUCUAAAUUGGAAUAAGUCGUAACAAAGUAGAGGUACUGGAAAGUGUUUCUUGAAAU
rnacentral:rRNA from 1 species